CCUUUAUGCUGUUCAACAUCAAUGGAUCUAAUCUUUAUUUCUGGAUAGCUAUUAUUCCUGUUACGCUUGUCCUCUCGGUGGGUGCAAAGUUGCAGCAUGUUAU